CUUCAUGACUGAGAGCAGAACACAACACAAUCUUCAUCAUCACACAAGACAAAACAACUACAAUGAACAACAUCAUCAUCCUCAUCUGGACACUCACACUGUUUGCACAAGAGUGUAGAGGACAGUAUACUGUAACUCAGAGUCCAUCAAUAACAGCAGCUCAAGGACAAGAAGUCAGAAUAAACUGUAAAACCAGCAGCACAGUGUAUAGUAGUAAUCGUUUAGCCUGGUACUUACAGAAACCUGGAGAAGCUCCUAAACUCCUCAUAUAUUAUGCAACAAGCCGUUACACUGGAACUCCAUCUAGAUUCAGUGGCAGUGGAUCUGGAAGUGAUUUCACUCUCACCAUCAGUGGAGUCCAGACUGAAGAUACAGGAGAUUAUUACUGUCAGAGUUACCACAAUGAUCCAGUGUUCACACAGUGAUAAAGAGUCGUACAAAAACCUCCGUCAGUCAGAGUCACAGUGACUGCACUGAUACAGCUGAGAGAUACUGCAGCUGCUGAUGAGAGGAUGACACACAGCAUAUCAAACAUUUCAGAGACUUUUUAUUUUCAUGAUAUAGUUGUGAAGCAGCAGGCAAAGAGUAAUUGUCUGAAUCCAUGUACAGAAAUUUAUUAGGAGAAACAGCAAGGAAAAUCCAGACAGUCGUCAAAACCAGGUGAUGGUCAAACACAAGGCAAACAGGCAGAGAAGCAAACAACAUGCAGGGUCCGUUUAAGAUCAGAACCCAAAGGUUACAAAAUCCAGAGUCAUAAAACCGAAUCAUUUUUCACCAGACUGCUUUAUAAAUGAAGGUCAGUAUGAAGCUGGUUUUGCUAAGAAGCUGCUCCUGAAAAAAGAAUCGGUACCAACUAUUCGUGUUCCUGCUGAACCUCCAGAAGAAGUGAGUGUAACGUUUAAUUAACCUUUAUAUUAAUCUUUGCAAAUCGCUAGCACGCUUCACGAUGUAUGUGGCUAAUGUUUACAUUCAGGGUACAUGCAUGUUUUCUAUUCACGACGUUCUCAAUAUAAUUAAUAAUCCCACGUUUAUAAUGAACAAAACGUUAUGGUUAUUGUGUUAUUACAAACUGUGUACGCAGCUAUUAAAGUUAACAUGAAAACACUACACUAAGCUUACUUUUGUAGAUGGUUUAUAACGGUGUCUGUUAAGAAGUAAUGUAAAAAAUUUAAAUAAAUAAAAAACAGUUAUAACUGCAUGAAAAUUAAUGGUAACACAAUACCUGCAAAAUACUGUUUACAUCCUGCAAAUGCAUAUGAUCCAAGACUAUAAAUACUCUAAUUGAUGUUUUUCAAUAUUAUGCCAGAAUAAGUUAUGUUAUCUGAUCACAUAUUUACUUUUGUAUAGGCAAGCACAUCUUACCCUCAACUGUUGUCAAGGCAA